AUUGAACGCUGGCGGCAUGCCUUACACAUGCAAGUCGAACGGUAACGCGGGGCAACCUGGCGACGAGUGGCGAACGGGUGAGUAACGCAUCGGAACGUGCCCAAUAGUGGGGGAUAGCCCGGCGAAAGCCGGAUUAAUACCGCAUAAUCCCUAAGGGGGAAAGCGGGGGACCGUAAGGCCUCGCGCAAUUAGAGCGGCCGAUACCUGAUUAGCUAGUUGGUGAGGUAAAGGCUCACCAAGGCAACGAUCAGUAGCUGGUCUGAGAGGACGAUCAGCCACACUGGGACUGAGACACGGCCCAGACUCCUACGGGAGGCAGCAGUGGGGAAUUUUGGACAAUGGGGGCAACCCUGAUCCAGCAAUGCCGCGUGAGUGAAGAAGGCCUUCGGGUUGUAAAGCUCUUUUGUCAGGGAAGAAACAGCAGCUCUAACACAGUCUGCGAAUGACGGUACCUGAAGAAUAAGCACCGGCUAACUACGUG
rnacentral:rRNA from 1 species